rnacentral:lncRNA from 1 species
GCUUAAUAUAUUUAAAUACCGUAUAUAAAUUCAGAUAAACUAUGUUUCUGGUUAACAUUAUUACUGCAUUAUUAGAAAAAAUGUUUAAAUAGUUGCGGGACAACUUUAAUUAAAUUAUUUUUAGCUGAGUAUUUAUUGCACGUAUAGAAGAAUUUUUUUGGUGGAUGUUAAGAUAAUCUUUCAAGGUAUUUUUUAAGAGGUAUUUCAUGGUAGAAAGUAUACUUUAUUUAAUUAAAACUGGAGACUUCUAUGCCGAAUAUAUAUAACAUGGUGAGUAAAAUAUAAUAUAUAAUUGACAAAUCAAGGACGGAAAAAUACUAAAUCAUCGUAGAUGAUUACUUUGCUAAGUUUACGCAAUACAGUAUUUUUAAGUGAAACGACUGUCAAUCCGCGUACUGUUAUAGUGCAGCUGCUGUUUAUCCUGUCAGACAUAUUGACUGAUAUUGUCUAUAUCAGUGUUUCCGAACCUUCUGUUUCCUACCUACAUACUGGUAAUUUCCUGAAAAUCAUCGAAAAUCGAUUAUAUCGAUCAAAUGUGCAUGGCAAUUACAAGAAGAAUUAUUUGCUUAUUUUCAUAAAUAAAAGAUAAAUUCAAAUGCAUGCAUGAUACUUAAGAAUAUAUUUCAUAAAACUGUUAACGUAAUAUAUAGAUAUUUGGUUUUUAAUGUGAUCAGAUAUACGAUUCCCGAAUUGCAAAUCAAGUUGAGAAAUUCUGAUCUCUAUCUAUUUGUUGACUCAAACAUGUCUGAUUGUAGGCUUGAUGACCAGAGAUCAAGUCGUAAUCUACUCUGAAGUGAGUCUUUUAAGUGGUUUCUAUUGUUGAGACAUGUAUUGGAUGAAUUGGGUAAGGUUUUAAGAAGAUUGUUUUGACUGCGGCGCAUUCUGAUGAGACUUUUAUGAAAGAAGAGAAAUCGAUGGCGAUAAUAGUUAAAAGGCGAGAAGAGGAAUAGCCAUCCACUUGGUUAUCGGUGGAAAGUCGUUUUCCACUUCUUAAUCGUCGGUUGCGGUGGGUGCGGUAGAAUCGUUUUAAUCGUCUCUCUGCCCCCGCCGCACAAACAUCCGCCGAAUCAUUUUUCACGCCCGUCCGGCUUAUCAUUGUCUUUUAGCGCUGUCUUAAUUACAGCAAUUUGUAUGACUUGAUUAAGCUCUUACCGCCCUUAAUAAUCUGUACUGGCUCACUGUGUCGAUGCUUUUCCCCUGGAGGUUGGGGGAGGGAAGAACCGUGUAAUGUCGCGCUAACAGUCGCUUAAUUAAUUCUCUGCUCUCUGUCAAUUAGUAUGCAUGGGACGUCGCCUGUCUCUACUCGCCUCGCAUCGAUAAAUCUGCAUUCCUUCGUCUCCUCGGGCUUCUUUCUGUUCCUUACGCCUUCUUCAAAGGCUUGCACUUUGGCGCCUGUCUUUCUCUUCUCUCGACAUCUAAGCUAAUUGUGGUUGUUAAUAGUUUAUCUGUUAAUGAAUGCAUCACGUUUUGUCAUUUGUCUUCGCUUACGCGAAUAGCACUUUGAAUGAAAAUGAAAACGAUUUUAUCUGUCCUAGGCCGACCUAUAAUUUUAUUAGAACUCUACUCAAUUAAUUAGUUUGAUAGUUUCAAUAUAAACCUUCACAUAUUAGUUUUAUUCUAAUUUCUGAUCAUCCUUGAUCAAAUUACUACAAAUAUUAAAUAAUGGU